AAGACUAUAAUUUAGGAAUCAUUUCUAUAGUUCCUAACUAGAGAAGUUCCUCUGAUUGAAUAGAGAAGCUGAGACCAUGAGGAGGUAAUGUAUAUAGUGCUCCUUCCUGAGCAUGAAGUUGGCUCUAGGUGCUGCUUCCCUGCAGCUGCUUCCUAUCAUUGAUGAUAGUUUUUCUAACCCUUUAGGAGAGUAAGAGGGAGGGAAUGCAAUCUGAGUGGG